rnacentral:rRNA from 1 species
AGACCCGAAACCCGGUGAUCUAGCCAUGGGCAGGUUGAAGGUUGGGUAACACUAACUGGAGGACCGAACCGACUAAUGUUGAAAAAUUAGCGGAUGACCUGUGGCUGGGGGUGAAAGGCCAAUCAAACCGGGAGAUAGCUGGUUCUCCCCGAAAGCUAUUUAGGUAGCGCCUCGUGAAUUCAUCUCCGGGGGUAGAGCACUGUUUCGGCUAGGGGGCCAUCCCGGCUUACCAACCCGAUGCAAACUGCGAAUACCGGAGAAUGUUAUCACGGGAGACACACGGCGGGUGCUAACGUCCGUCGUGAAGAGGGAAACAACCCAGACCGCCAGCUAAGGUCCCAAAGUCAUGGUUAAGUGGGAAACGAUGUGGGAAGGCCCAGACAGCCAGGAUGUUGGCUUAGAAGCAGCCAUCAUUUAAAGAAAGCGUAAUAGCUCACUGGUCGAGUCGGCCUGCGCGGAAGAUGUAACGGGGCUAAACCAUGCACCGAAGCUGCGGCAGCGAACGUAUCACUUAAAGCGAUUCAGCGGGUUACGAUUGACGGAGCGAAGCGACGUCAAAGCGUAUACAAAGUCGAGUCGGUUUAAGGAUACGUUCGUU